CCUACGGGCGGCAGCAGUGAGGAAUAUUGGUCAAUGGGCGGAAGCCUGAACCAGCCAAGUAGCGUGCGGGAUGAAGGCCCUACGGGUCGUAAACCGCUUUUGCACGGGGAUAACACCCUCCACUUGUGGAGGUCUGCAGGUACCGUGCGAAUAAGGGCCGGCUAAUUCCGUGCCAGCAGCCGCGGUAAUACGGAAGGCCCGAGCGUUAUCCGGAUUCAUUGGGCUUAAAGGGAGCGUAGGCGGGCGUUCAAGUCAGCUGUAAAAUCGCGCGGCUCAACCGCGCCCCGCAGUUGAAACUGGACGCAUUGAGUUCACAACAGGCAGGCGGAAUUCGUGGGGGAGCGGUGAAAUGCAUAGAUAGCACGAGGAACCCCGAGUGCGAAGGCAGCCUGCCGGGGUGCGACUGACGCUGAGGCUCGAAGGUGCGGGUAUCAAACAGGAUUAGAUACCCUUGUAGUC
rnacentral:rRNA from 1 species